AGAGUUUGAUCAUGGCUCAGAAUGAACGUUGGCGGCGUGGAUUAGGCAUGCAAGUCGAGCGAGAACCCCGCAAGGGGGGACAGCGGCAAACGGGGUAGUAAUAUGUCGGAACGUGCCCUGAGGACGGGGAUAGCGGCGGGAAACUGCCGGUAAUACCCGAUGAUCUCCGCUCCUGUGAUGGGAGUGGAGCAAAGGUGUGAUUCCGCCUUUGGAGCGGCCGACACGGUAUUAGCUAGUUGGCGGGGUAACGGCCCACCAAGGCUUUGAUGCCUAGGGGAUGUGAGAGCAUGAUCCCCACCAUUGGGACUGAGACACUGCCCAGACACCUACGGGUGGCUGCAGUCGAGAAUCUUCGUCAAUGGGCGAAAGCCUGAACGAGCGACGCCGCGUGCGGGAUGAAGGCCCUUGGGUUGUAAACCGCUGUCGAGGGGGAUGAAGGCUGGAAGGUCCUCCUUCCAGUUUGACAGAGCCCUGGAGGAAGCACGGGCUAAGUUCGUGCCAGCCGCCGCGGUAAUAC
rnacentral:rRNA from 1 species